rnacentral:rRNA from 1 species
UACGUAGGGGGCAAGCGUUGUCCGGAUUUAUUGGGCGUAAAGAGCGUGUAGGCGGCCAGACAGGUCAGCUGUGAAAACUCGAGGCUCAACCUCGAGACGUCGGUUGAAACCGUCUGGCUAGAGUCCGGAAGAGGAGAGUGGAAUUCCCGGUGUAGCGGUGAAAUGCGCAGAUAUCGGGAAGAACACCCGUGGCGAAGGCGGCUCACUGGCCCGGUACUGACGCUGAGGUGCGAAAGCGUGGGGAGCAAACAGG